rnacentral:lncRNA from 1 species
GAUUAAAGCAUAUGAUCGCGUGUCAGGUGACAUAAUUGUGCUUUAGCUAAGUUAAUUUGGACGGUUCCGCCACAACACCAAGAGCCUCAUUUGACCCCAUAGCAUACUUACCUGUUGCCUAACCAUUACUGAAGAUGAUCAUCAUCUCCUGGUAGUGCAAAAUUGACUUGUUCAGGUACUUAGCAUCCUUGGGGUGUGCCUGCCAUUACACCAACUUGAAGUUACAAAUCAUAACUGAAAAUCAUGG